AUUCCAGCUCCAAUAGCGUAUAUUAAAGUUGUUGCAGUUAAAACGCUCGUAGUCGGAUUUCGGGGCGGGCCGACCGGUCUGCCGAUGGGUAUGCACUGGCCGGCGCGUCCUUCCACCCGGAGACCGCGCCUACUCUUAACUGAGCGGGCGCGGGAGACGGGUCUUUUACUUUGAAAAAAUCAGAGUGUUUCAAGCAGGCAGUCGCUCUUGCAUGGAUUAGCAUGGGAUAAUGAAAUAGGACUCUGGUGCUAUUUUGUUGGUUUCGAACACCGAAGUAAUGAUUAAAAGGGACGGUUGGGGUUCUUCGUAUUCAAUUGUCAGAGGUGAAAUUCUUGGAUUUAUGGAAGACGAACUGCUGCGAAAGCGUCGAACAAGGACGUUCUCAUCA
rnacentral:rRNA from 1 species